rnacentral:rRNA from 1 species
CUACGGGGGGCUGCAGUGGGGAAUAUUGCACAAUGGGCGCAAGCCUGAUGCAGCCAUGCCGCGUGUAUGAAGAAGGCCUUCGGGUUGUAAAGUACUUUCAGCGGGGAGGAAGGGAGUAAAGUUAAUACCUUUGCUCAUUGACGUUACCCGCAGAAGAAGCACCGGCUAACUCCGUGCCAGCAGCCGCGGUAAUACGGAGGGUGCAAGCGUUAAUCGGAAUUACUGGGCGUAAAGCGCACGCAGGCGGUUUGUUAAGUCAGAUGUGAAAUCCCCGGGCUCAACCUGGGAACUGCAUCUGAUACUAGCAAGCUUGAGGCUCGUAGAGGGGGGUAGAAUUCCAGGUGUAGCGGUGAAAUGCGUAGAGAUCUGGAGGAAUACCGGUGGCGAAGGCGGCCCCCUGGACGAAGACUGACGCUCAGGUGCGAAAGCGUGGGGAGCAAACAGGAUUAGAUACCCUAGUAGUC